GAUGAACGCUAGCGGCAGGCUUAAUACAUGCAAGUCGUGGGGCAGCAUGAGUGUAGCAAUACAUUUGAUGGCGACCGGCAAACGGGUGCGGAACACGUACACAACCUUCCUAUAAGUGGGGAAUAGCCCAGAGAAAUUUGGAUUAAUACCCCGUAACAUAAUGAUGUGGCAUCACAUUAUUAUUAUAGCUUCGGCGCUUAUUGAUGGGUGUGCGGCUGAUUAGAUAGUUGGCGGGGUAACGGCCCACCAAGUCUACGAUCAGUAGCUGAUGUGAGAGCAUGAUCAGCCACACGGGCACUGAGACACGGGCCCGACUCCUACGGGAGGCAGCAGUAAGGAAUAUUGGUCAAUGGACGCAAGUCUGAACCAGCCAUGCCGCGUGAAGGAUUAAGGUCCUCUGGAUUGUAAACUUCUUUUAUCUGGGACGAAAAAAGGCGAUUCUUCGUCACUUGACGGUACCAGAUGAAUAAGCACCGGCUAACUCCGUGCCAGCAGCCGCCGUAAGAC
rnacentral:rRNA from 1 species